CCUACGGGAGGCAGCAGUGGGGAAUAUUGGACAAUGGGGGCAACCCUGAUCCAGCCAUGCCGCGUGUGUGGAGAAGGCCCUCGGGUUGUAAAGCACUUUCAGUGAGGAAGAACGCCUGGUGGUUAAUACCCAUCAGGAAAGACAUCACUCACAGAAGAAGCACCGGCUAACUCCGUGCCAGCAGCCGCGGUAAUACGGAGGGUGCGAGCGUUAAUCGGAAUUACUGGGCGUAAAGCGCGCGUAGGUGGCUUGAUAAGCCGGUUGUGAAAGCCCCGGGCUCAACCUGGGAACGGCAUCCGGAACUGUCAAGCUAGAGUGCAGGAGAGGAAGGUAGAAUUCCCGGUGUAGCGGUGAAAUGCGUAGAGAUCGGGAGGAAUACCAGUGGCGAAGGCGGCCUUCUGGACUGACACUGACACUGAGGUGCGAAAGCGUGGGUAGCAAACAGGAUUAGAUACCCUAGUAGUC
rnacentral:rRNA from 1 species